GACGAACGCUGGCGGCGUGCUUAACACAUGCAAGUCGAACGAUGAACUUGGAGCUUGCUCUGGGGGAUUAGUGGCGAACGGGUGAGUAACACGUGAGUAACCUGCCCUGGACUCUGGGAUAACUUCAAGAAAUCGGAGCUAAUACCGGAUAGGACCUUGCACCGCAUGGUGUGGGGUGGAAAGUUUUUCGGUUUGGGAUGGACUCGCGGCCUAUCAGCUUGUUGGUGAGGUAAUGGCUCACCAAGGCGUCGACGGGUAGCCGGCCUGAGAGGGUGACCGGCCACAGUGGGACUGAGACACGGCCCAGACACCUACGGGAGGCAGCAGUGGGGAAUAUUGCACAAUGGGCGCAAGCCUGAUGCAGCAACGCCGCGUGCGGGAUGACGGCCUUCGGGUUGUAAACCGCUUUUAGUAGGGAAGAAGCCUUCGGGUGACGGUACCUGCAGAAAAAGGACCGGCUAACUACGUGCCAGCCGCCGCGGUAACAC
rnacentral:rRNA from 1 species